UUUGUUACUUCAAACCAAUCGGACUUCGGUCUGACAUCAAGUGAUAUUGAACAAUUUAGCUGAUCGCACGGUCUAAGAACCGGCGACAUAUCCUUCAAAUGUCUGCCUUAUCAACUUUCGAUGGUAGAUUAUGCGCCUACCAUGGUUGUAACGGGUAACGGAGAAUCAGGGUUUGAUUCCGGAGAGGGAGCCUGAGAAACGGCUACCACAUCCAAGGAAGGCAGCAGGCACGCAAAUUACCCACUCCCGGCACGGGGGGGUAGUGACGAAAAAUAACAGGCUGGUCUCAAUGAGUUCCAGCAUUGUAAUGGGAACAAUUUAAAUCUUUUAUCGAGGAUCUAUUGGAGGGCAAGUCUGGUGCCAGCAGCCGCGGUAAUUCCAGCUCCAAUAGCGUAUAUUAAAGUUGUUGCGGUUAAAAAGCUCGUAGUUGGAUCUAGGAUUAGGGCUACGGUCGUUCAGCUUGGACGUACUGUAUGCCCGACUCCUUUUCUCUAGUAUUCGAUUGUUGCUCUUAAAUGAGUGACUUUAGUUGCUGGAACUUUUACCUUGAAAAAAUUGAAGUGCUCAAAGCACGUU
rnacentral:rRNA from 1 species